rnacentral:rRNA from 1 species
CCUACGGGAGGCAGCAGUGGGGAAUAUUGCACAAUGGGGGAAACCCUGAUGCAGCGACGCCGCGUGAGCGAUGAAGUAUUUCGGUAUGUAAAGCUCUAUCAGCAGGGAAGAAAAUGACGGUACCUGACUAAGAAGCCCCGGCUAACUACGUGCCAGCAGCCGCGGUAAUACGUAGGGGGCAAGCGUUAUCCGGAUUUACUGGGUGUAAAGGGAGCGUAGACGGCGGUGCAAGCCAGAUGUGAAAACUCCGGGCUCAACCUGGAGACUGCACUUGAAACUGGGUGUCUUGAGGGCAGGAGAGGAAAGUGGAAUUCCUAGUGUAGCGGUGAAAUGCGUAGAUAUUAGGAGGAACACCAGUGGCGAAGGCGACUUUCUGGACUGUACCUGACGCUGAGGCGCGAAAGCGUGGGUAGCGAACGGGAUUAGAUACCCUAGUAGUC